rnacentral:rRNA from 1 species
UACGUAGGGGGCAAGCGUUGUCCGGAAUCAUUGGGCGUAAAGAGCGUGUAGGCGGCUCGGUAAGUCCGCUGUGAAAGUCCAGGGCUCAACCCUGGGAUGCCGGUGGAUACUGCCGGGCUAGAGUCCGGAAGAGGCGAGUGGAAUUCCUGGUGUAGCGGUGAAAUGCGCAGAUAUCAGGAGGAACACCGAUGGCGAAGGCAGCUCGCUGGGACGGUACUGACGCUGAGGAGCGAAAGCGUGGGGAGCAAACAGG